rnacentral:rRNA from 1 species
AGGUGCGAUCAUACCAGCACUAAUGCGUCGGAUCCAAUCAGAACUCAACAUUUAAGCGUGCUUGGGCGAGAGUAUUACUAGGAUGGGUGACCUCCUUGGAAGUCCUCGUGUUGCACCUU